UGAGGAUCUUCUGAGCUGUUUCUCUCACAAAAACAUCUGGAAAGAUCAUACGAUGGAGAUGGGAGCUGGAUGGAUGUCGUAGCUAGGCCAUGGUCAGGUCAGGCCUUGGCCGACUCUACACCUCAUCUCAGGAGUCCACUUUAUAAAUGUGCUAACUUCAAAGGCGAUAUAUGUCCCAAAGGUUUCUACUGUCCUGUAGGAUCGGCUUACCCUCAGCCCUGUGACACUGGCUUCUACUGUGGUCAGACUGGCCUGGAAGCCCCCAGUGGCCUCUGUACCCCAGGCUAUUUCUGCUCCAGGGGUUCCACGACCCCUCACGCCUCACUCUGCCCCCCUGGACACUACUGCCCCCAGGGCACACCUCUCCCUCUACCUUGCCCUCCUGGAACCCUGAAGGGUCGAUCAGGCGGGUCCACAGUGGACGAUUGCCAGCCUUGCCCCCCUGGUCAUUACUGCGAUCAGAUAGGCUUGGCCGGGCCCAGCGGUCAGUGUGCUGCUGGCUACUACUGUCCUGGGGGACAGAGCACUGAUAGACCGUCACAACAUGUGUGUGGAGUUGGUCAUUUCUGCAAGGAGGGUAGCGUGAGAGAGAGAGCCUGUGCCCCAGGCAGCUACCAGCCUAGUGAGGGUCAGCACCGAUGUGAGGUGUGUCCUUCUGGCUUCUACUGUCUUGAAGAAGGAAGGACACACUUGGUUCCAUGCGGAAGAGGAUUCUAUUGUCCACGUGGAACAGCCAAUCAGCAUCCUUGUCCAUCCGGGACCUAUGGAAACUUAUCAGGAUUGGCUGACGAAUCGGAAUGCUCUUUGUGUGAACCGGGGAUGUACUGUAAAGGAACAGGGAGAAAUUACCCCAGUGGUCCAUGCAGUGCAGGGUUUGUGUGUUUUGGGGCCGCCUCUCAACCCUCCCCCUCAGACAACAUCACAGGCGCUCCAUGUCCUCCUGGAUUCCACUGUCCUGUUGGAAGCUCCGUACCAAUGCCCUGCCCUAAAGGCACAUUCAGUGAGCAAAGUGGACUAACGGAGCCCUCCCAGUGUCGUAGAUGUGUUCCAGGGUUCUACUGUGCAGAGCCAGGCCUUAAAGCAGUCACUGGAGCCUGUCUGCCAGGUUUCUACUGUUUGGAAGGGUCCCAGAGUGCUGCCCCGAUGUCAGGUGUAUUUGGAGGUGUUUGCAACCCAGGCCACUACUGUGAGAGUGGGACCAGUGUGCCUGCAUCCUGCCCUGCUG
ensembl:lncRNA